GGGUACGAUUCUGAGUUUGGGAAGGAAUGUCUUUGCUCAGGUGACCUGCCACUUCAUAGAGAAGCAACAGUGUGGGAAUCUACAGCGCGUCGUGAUGUGUUACUGAAGGCUGGAGCUGAUGUUAAUGUACAGAAU